rnacentral:lncRNA from 1 species
CUGCUCUUCGUCCCCGUGGUGAUGAUGCUGCUGCUCUUCUCCCUGGUUCUCUUCCCCUCCACAAACUGCGAGUAUCCUCCAUCUCCCACCUUCUCCCAGUAAGAACAACAUACGGAGAGAGCCUUACUGCCAGGUAUACAUAUAUAUAUAAUUCCUGCUCUCGAGUUUUAUUCUAUCUACAUCCAUGCAGCUUUUGCUUGCUUUUAUUGGAUAUACAUAUACAUAUGACAUGACAUGCUACCAUACAACACACAACAGUCAGGUCAGGUGGCUCUCAGGAGAAUUUCUGCUCUGCCUUUCAAGCCCCGGCCAGAUGAGGAGCCAGCCAUGGUUAUGUAGAAUUACCAAGAAAUGAAUGUUGAUUACCUAGUCAUUCCUGGUUUUCUCGCAAUUUUGUGGCUGAGGAAGGCUAUAUGUUAGCAAGCCGGCAAUGAGAACCGCCGCGCCUGCAACAAAGCCGGGAGGGAGGGUCGACGCCACGCUGAUGUACGGCAGCGGUAGAGUGAAAGCGUAGAUCGACAGCGGAACUGCAUCAAGAAAAGGCCAUCAUUAGUGAUCAGUUCGCUGCAAAGUGUGCAUGCAUACUUGCAUAUCUACUUGUACAAGGGAACAAUGACUAGUAAUCAGAAAUGGAAUGCUAGUUGAAAGGUUUAUAACUUUUUUUCCCUCAACCUUCUCGAAGGGCAUUUUUUUCUCGAAGGGCCUUUUUUCCCUCAACGUUAUGUGUAAGUGCAAACGAUGAAUACCGAAGAUACGUUGGAAGCUAGACUAUUUAUUCAUUAAUAGUAUCU